rnacentral:rRNA from 1 species
UAGUUUAGUGGCGGACGGGUGAGUAACACGUGAGCAACCUGCCUUCGAGAGGGGAAUAACGGCUGGAAACGGUCGCUAAUACCGCAUAACAUACGGGAGGGACAUCCCUUUUGUAUCAAAGAUUUAUCGCUCGAAGAUGGGCUCGCGUCCGAUUAGGUAGUUGGUGAGGUAACGGCCCACCAAGCCGACGAUCGGUAGCCGGACUGAGAGGUUGAACGGCCACAUUGGGACUGAGACACGGCCCAGACUCCUACGGGAGGCAGCAG